CAUGGGCGAAGCCAUGAGGCUUAAUACCGCGUUGAGGGAAGAAGGCGUAUGGGUUAUAAACCUCUUUUUUCAGCGCAGGAACAAAAUGACGUGUACCUGAAGAAUAAGCAUCGGCUAACUCCGUGCCAGCAGCCGCGGUAAGACGGAGGAUGCAAGUGUUAUCCGAGAAUUACUGGGCGUAAAGCGUCUGUAGGUGGUUUAAUAAGUCAACUGUUAAAUCUUGAAGCUUAACUUCAAAACAGCAGUCGAAACUAUUAAACUAGAGUAUAGUAGAGGUAAAGGGAAUUUCCAGUGGAGCGGUAGAAAUGCGUAGAUAUUGGAAAGAACACCGAUGGCGAAAGCACUUUACUGGGCUAUUACUAACACUCAGAGACGAAAGCUAGGGUAGCAAAUGGGAUUAGAUACCCCAGUAGUCCUAGCUGUAAACAAUGGAUACUAGAUGUUGAACAGAUCGACCUGUGCAGUAUUAAAGCUAACGCGUUAAGUAUCCCGCCUGAGAAGUAUGCUCGCAAGAGUGAAACUCACAGGAAUCGACGGGGGCCCGCACAAGCGGUGGAGCAUGUGGUUCAAUUCGAUGCAACGCGAAGAACCUUACCAGAGUUGACAUGAUACGAAUAU
rnacentral:rRNA from 1 species